rnacentral:lncRNA from 1 species
AGAAGGUUUAUUUUUCAUCAAACCUAUGCAGAUGGUAAAAGCAGAGUGUGACUGUGUGGGUCCAGCUUUGUGAGUCCUGGGACCAUCCCUCCCUCAGCAGCAGCCAGCCCGGGGUGCUGGGUUUUGUGUCCCCACAACUGGGAGCGGGGGAUGGGCACUCUCACUUAAUCCCGACUCUGGGCUCCUGUUCCUGGCAGCAUGUCUGCACCCCCUUGCUCAGGGUCUGGAGGGACCUUUGGGUUCUAUGCUUUUAAUUUUGUUCUAGAGUUCAGACACCUUCUAUGAAUGUAACUCAGCUGAGAACACUGUCAAUAGGGCUCAG